UACGAAGGGGGCUAGCGUUGUUCGGAAUUACUGGGCGUAAAGCGCACGUAGGCGGAUUUGUAAGUCAGGGGUGAAAUCCCGGGGCUCAACCCCGGAACUGCCUUUGAUACUGCAAGUCUCGAGUCCGAGAGAGGUGAGUGGAAUUCCUAGUGUAGAGGUGAAAUUCGUAGAUAUUAGGAAGAACACUAGUGGCGAAGGCGGCUCACUGGCUCGGUACUGACGCUGAGGUGCGAAAGCGUGGUGAGCAAACAGG
rnacentral:rRNA from 1 species